UACGGAGGGGGCUAGCGUUGUUCGGAAUUACUGGGCGUAAAGCGCACGUAGGCGGCUUUGUAAGUUAGAGGUGAAAGCCCGGAGCUCAACUUCGGAAUAGCCUUUAAGACUGCAUCGCUUGAACACGGGAGAGGUGAGUGGAAUUCCGAGUGUAGAGGUGAAAUUCGUAGAUAUUCGGAAGAACACCAGUGGCGAAGGCGACUCACUGGACCGUUGUUGACGCUGAGGUGCGAAAGCGUGGGGAGCAAACAGG
rnacentral:rRNA from 1 species